rfam:Clostridium sulfidigenes strain 113A c40, whole genome shotgun sequence.
ACAAAAGUUGAAUAUAUUCCGUAGACAGUAGGUGCUGAAAAGCGUAACUAAAUACCUACCGAGGAUGCUAAUAAAUGAUUUUAUUGGUCUCUUCGUGUCUGCGGAGAGACCUUAAUUUUUUAAUAU